UGGGGAAUAUUGGACAAUGGGGGCAACCCUGAUCCAGCCAUGCCGCGUGUGUGAAGAAGGCCUUUUGGUUGUAAAGCACUUUAAGCAGGGAGGAGAGGCUAAUGGUUAAUACCCAUUAGAUUAGACGUUACCUGCAGAAUAAGCACCGGCUAACUCUGUGCCAGCAGCCGCGGUAAUACAGAGGGUGCGAGCGUUAAUCGGAAUUACUGGGCGUAAAGCGAGUGUAGGUGGCUCAUUAAGUCACAUGUGAAAUCCCCGGGCUUAACCUGGGAACUGCAUGUGAUACUGGUGGUGCUAGAAUAUGUGAGAGGGAAGUAGAAUUCCAGGUGUAGCGGUGAAAUGCGUAGAGAUCUGGAGGAAUACCGAUGGCGAAGGCAGCUUCCUGGCAUAAUAUUGACACUGAGAUUCGAAAGCGUGGGUAGCAAAACAGGAUUAGAUACCCUGGUAGUCCACGCCGUAAACGAUGUCUACUAGCCGUUGGGGUCCUUGAGACUUUAGUGGCGCAGUUAAACGCGAUAAGUAGACCGCCUGGGGGAGUACGGCC
rnacentral:rRNA from 1 species